rnacentral:rRNA from 1 species
UACGUAGGGUGCGAGCGUUAAUCGGAAUUACUGGGCGUAAAGCGUGCGCAGGCGGUUCGUUGUGUCGGCGGUGAAAGCCCCGGGCUCAACCUGGGAAUGGCCGUUGAUACUGUCGAUCUGGAGUAUGGAAGAGGUGAGUGGAAUUCCGAGUGUAGAGGUGAAAUUCGUAGAUAUUCGGAGGAACACCAGUGGCGAAGGCGGCUCACUGGUCCAUUACUGACGCUGAGGUGCGAAAGCGUGGGGAGCAAACAGG